GGGGCUGCACUGGUUUCGACGGGGAGUUCAAAGUUUAAAAUGCAUGUCGUGCCUGAAUGAUGCACGUAAAUCUUUAUUUCACUUUUGUUAUAGUUGCAAACGACGAUAACUACGCUCUAGCGGCUUAAUCCCGCUAGUGCAGGCUAGACCCGUUGCCUUUGGCCCCUAGCCUGUAUCGACUUACAAAGGAUCGUGUUGCGUGCGUGUUUGGGUACGUACCACUAAACUUAACAAACUCGCUUGGUGUGAUCCCUGCUGGUCGGGCAGCAUUCAAGUUAAAUUAAUAGACCAAAUAAACAUGUAGAUUUUUAGAUGGCGGCUUUGCGGACGGGGGUUCGACUCCCCCCAGCUCCACCA
rnacentral:tmRNA from 1 species